GGGACUGAUGCGCAUGGACAUCCAGGGGCUGACUUUGUGGAAGAGCCACUGGAAGGUGAGGAAGCUGGUCACCGAGAUGGUGAGGAUAAGCUGGCUGAAUGGGUCCAUGGCCAUCCAACCCCUCUGUGGGAGGAGGGACAGAAAAGCAGUAGCUGUGACAAAACCGUAGCAGUGGCUACAGAUGACCUGAUGUAGUGGAAAGGACUGCGUACUGCACUGAAAAGCCACCAGAUACAGCCUGUCAAGACUGCACGCAACACAUAACCCAACUGUUCUGAGAGCUACAGUUGGAGCGGCUGUGAAUGUCACUGAGUCACUGUCAGCGACUCACAUCAUGAAUAAUCACCUCAACACACAGAAAAAGCAGGACAUGUCUGGAGGCGAGGGCUCAAGUGUUUGUAGGUUUCAAAAGCAGUUUCAAACACAGUCGAUCAUGUUCUUUGACCUCUCACUUUGUUAUGGUAUGUUAUGAAAUAAUAUUACACAACUUAUCACUGUUGCAUGAAAAGGUAAAUCAGUUUCACUUUAGUAAUGAAUCAUUGUGCUCUAACCAAGUUCAUAUAGAUAUAGAUCAUCAGAAGCAACAAGCAAAAAUCAGAUGUAGGACACUUUAAUUGUUUUUUCAUGCAUUGCACAGACAGUCAGUAUCACAGUAACUGACUGUGAAGAAGACUGGAGGGUGGUUUUAAAACAUGUGGCAGUCGAUCUCCUUAAAACUAAGUGUGGAAAAAAAACAUCUAAUAAAGUGAUUUUGUCUACGCUGUAAUUAAACGUGACCUCAACGGAUUUUUUGGAUUCACAUAAACUAAAAAAUGUACAAGUGUGUUAAUAUCUCCUCCACAAAUACAUAUCACCAAUUCAAUAUACUUAAAAUAAAUAUAUUGUUACAAAUGUA